UACGUAGGGUGCAAGCGUUAAUCGGAAUUACGUGGCGUAAAGCGUGCGCAGGCGGCUUUGCAAGACAGAUGUGAAAUCCCCGGGCUCAACCUGGGAACUGCAUUUGUGACUGCAAGGCUGGAGUACGGUAGAGGGGGAUGGAAUUCCACGUGUAGCAGUGAAAUGCGUAGAGAUGUGGAGGAACACCGAUGGCGAAGGCAGCCCCCCUGGGUCAAGAUUGACGCUCAUGCACGAAAGCGUGGGGAGCAAACAGG
rnacentral:rRNA from 1 species